UACGUAGGGUGCAAGCGUUAAUCGGAAUUACUGGGCGUAAAGCGUGCGCAGGCGGUUUUGUAAGUCUGUCGUGAAAGCCCCGGGCUCAACCUGGGAAUUGCAUUCGAGACUGAAUAGCUAGGGUACGGUAGAGGGAAGUGGAAUUUCCGGUGUAGCGGUGAAAUGCGCAGAUAUCAGGAGGAACACCGGUGGCGAAGGCGGCUUGCUGGGCCAGUUCUGACGCUGAGGAGCGAAAGCGUGGGGAGCGAACAGG
rnacentral:rRNA from 1 species